GGGCCAUAGCUCAGUGACUGAAAAUCUGCUUUACAUGCAGAAGGUCUUAGGUUCAACCCCUGGCAUCUCCA